UGUUGUAACAAAUCCGUUUCUCUUUUUGUGGUUCCAUAAAUUUUUGACUUGUGAAUAGUGAUAAAUACUCCAAUUGUGUCUCUCGUGGGAGGGACAUUUAAGCUCCCUUGGCCAAAUUUUGCAUGACAUGUACAGUGAGCUACUUGAUAUUCGAAUACUUGUGUUAUCUAUAACUUGCCCUAUUAGUCUUUCAAAACUAAUUUUGACC
rnacentral:lncRNA from 1 species